AAACUGAAGAGUUUGAUCAUGGCUCAGAUUGAACGCUGGCGGCAGGCCUAACACAUGCAAGUCGAGCGGCAGCACGGGAAGCUUGCUUCCUGGUGGCGAGCGGCGGACGGGUGAGUAAUGCAUAGGAAUCUGCCCGAUAGUGGGGGAUAACCUGGGGAAACCCAGGCUAAUACCGCAUACGUCCUACGGGAGAAAGCAGGGGCUCUUCGGACCUUGCGCUAUCGGAUGAGCCUAUGUCGGAUUAGCUAGUUGGUGAGGUAAUGGCUCACCAAGGCGACGAUCCGUAGCUGGUCUGAGAGGAUGAUCAGCCACAUCGGGACUGAGACACGGCCCGAACUCCUACGGGAGGCAGCAGUGGGGAAUAUUGGACAAUGGGCGCAAGCCUGAUCCAGCCAUGCCGCGUGUGUGAAGAAGGCCUUCGGGUUGUAAAGCACUUUCAGUGAGGAAGAACGCCUUGUGCCUAAUACGUGCAAGGGAAGACAUCACUCACAGAAGAAGCACCGGCUAACUCCGUGCCAGCAGCCGCGGUAAUACGGAGGGUGCGAGCGUUAAUCGGAAUUACUGGGCGUAAAGCGCGCGUAGGUGGCUUGAUAAGCCGGUUGUGAAAGCCCCGGGCUCAACCUGGGAACGGCAUCCGGAACUGUCAGGCUAGAGUGCAGGAGAGGAAGGUAGAAUUCCCGGUGUAGCGGUGAAAUGCGUAGAGAUCGGGAGGAAUACCAGUGGCGAAGGCGGCCUUCUGGACUGACACUGACACUGAGGUGCGAAAGCGUGGGUAGCAAACAGGAUUAGAUACCCUGGUAGUCCACGCCGUAAACGAUGUCGACUAGCCGUUGGGAGCCUCGAGUUCUUAGUGGCGCAGUUAACGCGAUAAGUCGACCGCCUGGGGAGUACGGCCGCAAGGUUAAAACUCAAAUGAAUUGACGGGGGCCCGCACAAGCGGUGGAGCAUGUGGUUUAAUUCGAUGCAACGCGAAGAACCUUACCUACCCUUGACAUCGUGCGAACUUUCCAGAGAUGGAUUGGUGCCUUCGGGAACGCACAGACAGGUGCUGCAUGGCUGUCGUCAGCUCGUGUUGUGAAAUGUUGGGUUAAGUCCCGUAACGAGCGCAACCCCUGUCCCUAUUUGCCAGCGAUUCGGUCGGGAACUCUAGGGAGACUGCCGGUGACAAACCGGAGGAAGGUGGGGACGACGUCAAGUCAUCAUGGCCCUUACGGGUAGGGCUACACACGUGCUACAAUGGCAGGUACAAAGGGUUGCAAGACGGCGACGUGGAGCUAAUCCCAUAAAGCCUGCCUCAGUCCGGAUCGGAGUCUGCAACUCGACUCCGUGAAGUCGGAAUCGCUAGUAAUCGUGAAUCAGAAUGUCACGGUGAAUACGUUCCCGGGCCUUGUACACACCGCCCGUCACACCAUGGGAGUGGACUGCACCAGAAGUGGUUAGCUUAACCUUCGGGGGAGCGAUCACCACGGUGUGGUUCAUGACUGGGGUGAAGUCGUAACAAGGUAGCCGUAGGGGAACCUGCGGCUGGAUCACCUCCUUA
rnacentral:rRNA from 1 species